rnacentral:lncRNA from 1 species
AUUUUCCCUCGUUAUGGCACCUGUCCUCAGCCAAAAAAUACAUUUUGAUGGCAGUUGGAGAGAAGACAAUGAUACGAGGAAAUUGCAACUAUCUGAGCAAUAUAAAGAAAUCCUGAAAAGAAUGACUCGAAAACCUGAGUCACGCCAAUUCUUUGGUCUUAUGGGGAUAAGAGGCUCUGUCCCAGGUAACAAGACCAGGUAAGUGUUGCCCGCAUUACACUGUUGGUACUGACCAUUUCAACUCAAUUUUACUGAGGCUACUAU